AUGCAAGGAUUCCUGAGCCUCCCUAGACCUGCUACCUUAUCCCAGAUCUGCUGUUUCGACCCUCUCUCACACCUGCUGUCUCGGCCUCUGAAUGCUCGACUAUGAAAAGCCAACUGACAUUUACUCCUGAGGUGUUGACCUCGCAGUGUUGCCAACUCCUCAGUAAGGAAAGUAGCUAUUGGCUGUCCUAAAAGUCGCUAGAAGUCGAUAAAUGACGUCAUCGCCGAAUUUGCAUAAUUGGCCAUGUUCAUGUAAUUGUGAUGGAGGUUUUGUGUUCGUGUCGCAUCGGGGGAAUCAAAUCAAAUUGUAUUUGUCACAUGCAUCGUAAACAAAAGGUCUCCUCAUCCCCCUGGAAGUUGAUGUGCAUGCUGAUAAGAAUUUCCUGUACAAGUACAUGCCACAGUCCGGUGCAUGCGAUCGGAUCACUGACUCAAGCACCCUGCGAGAGUUGGAUGGAAUUCAUAAGCGCACUAAGGAACAGCAGUUCCACAGAACUAUUGGACUUAAAGCAGAAACAGAUGAAAAUAGGCAUGAAAUGGAGUAAAGUCGGGAACAACAAGCGAACAGGGUGAGCUAGUGAGGGAGACCGAGCAGAAAGAGUCGCUUUGAGUAAGAUAAAAAUGAAGAGAUGCUGAAAGAAAACAAAGUUUGCGCUGAGCCUUUUUUAUUUCACGAAUACAUCUGCUUAGUAGACUUUCUCCAUGGAAUUUUGGAUGAAACCUAAAUCUUGUCAUAUCUCAGAUUCAUAAUAUGAAACACCAAUUGGGAUUGCUCUCUAUUCCAGUGGAAUAGUAUUAUUUUGUAACAGCAGGGAGUUAACCCAUUGAUUUCUCUCCAGAGUGGCAGCAGAUGGCAGUGUUGUUCCGAUGAUAGACUGGAUCCCUAUGGAGAACACACUGGUUUGAUUUGCUUGCUGUAACAAGGGCAUAGCCUACUAUUGAGCUUGUUUAAAAGCAAAAAAAGAGAAAGAAAAAACAAUCUUAGUGGAAAGAGAAAUAUGCACGUUUGAGUCUGGCCUUACUGAGUGUACCUGGAUUCUAUUUCAUAGACAAUCUCAUUCGCACAUAACACAGCGUUAGAUAGUGGAACUGACCAAUGAUGCAGUGCAGAUAGGGAUUGAAUAUAUUGGAACUGCAACAUUGUGUAAAUUUUGAAAAAUGAUGCUACAUUGUGUCAUGCAAGUAGCUUCGGAAAUGUAAAACUGUUCAGCUAAUUAUUCUCAGAAUGACAUCCUGGCAUAUUUAACUACAGUGGGGGAAAAAAGUAUUUGAUCCCCUGCUGAUUUUGUACAU